rnacentral:rRNA from 1 species
UACGUAGGUGGCAAGCGUUGUCCGGAUUUACUGGGCGUAAAGAGCGCGCAGGCGGUCGUUCAAGUCGCGUGUGAAAGCCCCCGGCUCAACUGGGGAGGGUCACGCGAUACUGAUCGACUCGAAGGCAGGAGAGGGUAGUGGAAUUCCCGGUGUAGUGGUGAAAUGCGUAGAUAUCGGGAGGAACACCAGUGGCGAAGGCGACUACCUGGCCUGUUCUUGACGCUGAGGCGCGAAAGCUAGGGGAGCAAACGGGGAUUAAGAAACCCCA